CUGCGGAAGGAUCAUUAUUGAAAUAAAACUGAUGAGUUGCUGCUGGUUCUCUAGGGAACAUGUGCACACUUGUCAUAUUUAUAUCUCCACCUGUGCACCUUUUGUAGACCUGGAUAUCUCUCUGAGUGUUAGCCACUCAGGUUUGAGGAUUGACUUCAUGUCUCUCCUUACAUUUCCAGGCCUAUGUUUCUUCAUAUACCCCAAUGUAUGUCAUAGGAUGUAAUCAAUGGGCCUUUGUGCCUAUAAAUCUAUACAACUUUCAGCAACGGAUCUCUUGGCUCUCGCAUCGAUGAAGAACGCAGCGAAAUGCGAUAAGUAAUGUGAAUUGCAGAAUUCAGUGAAUCAUCGAAUCUUUGAACGCACCUUGCGCUCCUUGGUAUUCCGAGGAGCAUGCCUGUUUGAGUGUCAUUAAUAUAUCAACCUCUUCAUCUUUUGUUUGUCGAGUGUUGGAUGUGGGGGUUUUUUUUUGCUGGUCUUCUAAAAGGUCAGCUCCCCUGAAAUGUAUUAGCGGAACCUUCUGUGGACCGUUCAUUGGUGUGAUAACUAUCUACGCUAUUGACGCGAAGCAGUUCAGCUUCUAACAGUCCAUUGACUUGGACAAAUUUUCAUUAAUGUGACCUCAAAUCAGGUAGGACUACCCGCUGAACUUAAGCAUAUC
rnacentral:rRNA from 1 species